AUUUUUUUUUUUUUUUUUUUGCUUUUUAUGUUCGUAGCCACAAAAUAAAGAGAGAUCCGUGAGCUGCCAAAUCUCCUUUGCUUUCGUUCCAGUUUUUUGGUUUUUGCCUUCUGUAGGGUGUCUGAAUUUAUUGUGGUUCAUUUUUGUGCGUAGAGUAGAGAAGCUUCCCCAUUUAAUACCCUGGGCAAAUCUAUAAUUCUCCAACCUUUGAUUGCGAAAUCUUUAUCCUGUGGUUUUUGCUUGUGUUCGAAUGAUGAUAUAGUUCACGUCUGUUUGGAAAAAAGAAGUGUGAAUUGUCUUGCGGUGUUUUUAGCUUCUGAAGAAUUUCAGUCUAAAGUCUAGACAAUAGGAGGUGGAUAAAAAGAUAAAUCUUGAGCUGGUUGACGCUGCGAAAGUCCUGGAAGAAUUUAAUCAUGGCGAGAGGCAAAGUUCAGAUGAGGCGAAUUGAGAACACAACGAGCCAGCAAGUCACCUUCUCAAAGCGCUGGAAUGGGCUACUGAAGAAAGCUUAUGAGCUCUCGGUCCUCUGCGACGCCGAGGUCGCGGUGAUCAUCUUUUCACAGAAAGGAAGGCUUCACAAGUUGUCAAGCAAUUCGGAAUCUGCAAGUGGUGCGGCUACGUACCAGGCUAAUGUGGAACAAUAUAUUCUGCGUCUGAAGCAAGAAACCACUGACAUGGAGAGGAAGAUUGAGCUUCUUGAAGUUUCUCUACGGAAGCUAUCAGGACAAUGUCUUGGAUCUUGCUCAAUCGAUGAAAUCCAACAGAGAGGGGAUCAGCUCGAGCGAAGUUUGAGCAGCAUUAGGGAAAGAAAGGACUUAUCAUAUCCAUACAGGAGCCGAAACACCAAUUUCAAUAGAGACUGCAAUCACAUGGUAAGAUUGGAACUGAAUAGACUAAAAAUAUUCAACUUGGCAUAUGAAAGGAGAGAAUGAAUAUUUCUCCAAGCAUACAUGGCGUUUUCUACCUUAUAUGAAAGAACGAAAGCACAUUCAGAAAUCACCCCUUUUCUUCAUAGUUAUUGACCUAUUCUUUUUUUUUUCCCCGAUAAACAAGUAAAAGAUCAUGAUUAUUCUUCUAUCAGUAUUUUUCCCGAAGUUAUCCGGACGACUCUAUUGUUUGUCUUUCCAAAAUAAAUUGGAUAGUUUUUGAUAAACCUAUGAAAGAGUUCUAAGUGACAAAAAACCGUGAUUAAAAAAAGUAUUCAAUUACCUGAUUUCUAAGUGACUUAUUGGUAACUUACACUUGUAUGAAAUUUCCGACUCUUUUCAACAAUGUGCAAUUAUCAAUAUCUCUUAUUUUUUAUUAACUUUUAUUUAUUUUUUCUUGCCAUUCCUUUAAAUUUAAUAGCUCUUAUAUAUAUUUGCAAAUAUUUAUGUGAAUAGCUUAUAGACCUAUUUUUCGCUAAAAUUACUAACUCUUUUUGGGUUACUAACUCUAUUUGACUAACUUUAUAGACUUAUAGACUUAUUUUUUCGGGACUAACUUACCAACGCUUAAUUGGUCUUUCUUAGUGCAAUUUUUCCUACUCUAACCCUUCCUUUGACUACUCUAAUGGAAACAUUGUGUUAUGGUGGAGAAUGAGGUCUACUCUUUCUCUUCUGUCUUACGUGCCAACAACUUCAGCAGAUCUUUCUUCUCUUUAUCACUUUCCUAGUUAUAAAAUAAUUUCUGUUGAUAAAAAUACUUCCACUCCUCUUCACCCUUUACGAACCCAACUAGAAAUUACCAAUCUUGAUUAUAGGAGUUACUAACUUUUCUCUGUUUAAGUAACCAACUAAUUCUGCGUUGCCAACUCUUAUUUGAUUAGUUAAUAAGUUUAUUCGGUUUGGUUAAAUAACUGGCUUUUCUUCUCUGACCAAAAAAAAAAAAAAAAAAAGGCCAUCGGUCAAUUUUUACCAAUGGUUUCUACACUUAUUGACAUGAGUGGAUACUUAUUUACAUGAAACAAAAAAAUAGUGCGCACUCUUUGGCAUGAAAUGAUAGAAUACCGUGAGUUUUUUUAUUAUAUUAACUAUGCCGAUUCCCAUGUACAACUUUUCACUUGAACUAUGUUUCUGGACAAGUUGCAAAGCAUCGUCCUUUCAUUUCUAUCGUCCGUCAUUUCAACUUAUUUUCUCUCUUUUAUUAUUUUUUACCUUGUACUAAGAAAGGUUUCGGGACAACAUGCACACACACGAAAGUUAAAAUAUUUCUACGGAGCUCUUUUACAGGCUUAAUUAUUCAACGAUCAGAUACGGCGGCAGCUACAAGCAAAGGAGAGGUCUCUGAAAGAAGAGAAUGCAAAGCUUCUUGCAAAGGCAAUCAACAGCUCAUCCGAGAGCAACAACAAUACAUAGCCGGAGCAACCGAAGUACAAAUGGUGAGGCCGGGUUGUUCGUUGGAUUGCCAAAAAGUUAAA